UGGAGCAGCUAAGGGGAGGCCAGAGCCACAGCUGCACCUGUCAGCUGACACAGCCAUCCCAGCCUUACUGAGGCUUACAAAGGCUUCCUAAGAGGCUGGCUCUUCAAAACAGAAGACUCUGGGAUUUAAUGUUUAGUUAUUCCUAUCAUAAAGUGUGUGCGCAGUGUCUUUGAACCCAGAAGAACAUUGGGAUCAAGCCUAUUUAUGAACCUAAACUAAGCCAACGACUAACUGCAGCCUCAGUCUCCACAUCCCGCCCUGUGUUCCAGGGAAGUCAUGGAGUGGGCAGCAGCUGUGAGGCCCUGGUAGGGCUCUGGAUGCAGCCUGAUGCCCCUCUGACUUAACUUUCUAAUCUCCGAACUCGAGCUACAGCGCCAGUGACUACUGUUUACCCCAAAGGACGGUCAUGUGAGCGCAAUGAGGAACCACACACGACACAGCCCUGGACGGAUGAUGCUUACAGAGUAAAAGCGCAGCAGACCUUUUUGGGAAGGAAAUGAACAUUUAAAAAAGAGAGAGAGAGAAAGAAAAGAAAACAAUCAAAAUGUGCGUUUAAGUGCCUGCCCUGCCCUCGACGACCAACGACCAUCUAGGAAGAAGCAACAGGACGCAGUGCAAAGCCACCUGACCUCUUGGUGCUGGGCUCCAGCAAAGAUGCCACUCUCUUAGGUUUAGAAAUCGCUGGAAUACCAAAGAGCAACGCUUCCUCUGGUGGGCAGCUGAUUCUUAUCUGUACAUGGGACAGGGCGGGGGGGCAGGGGGGGGGGAGUUGGAUCCAACCAAAUUUGCAGUCAAAAGAAAGAGGUCAAAACAUAUGAGUCCAUUCCUUAGUAUUAUUUAAUUACUAGAAUCAAAUGUAUGAAAACAUUUUAAACAGAAAACUGCCUGUGUGACUUUCAAAUGUAUAGGAGCUUUUAAAAUCUAAGGGUGAAAAAAGAUAUAACAAAAUACAUACAUGAAUA